UACGUAGGGUGCAAGCGUUAAUCGGAAUUACUGGGCGUAAAGCGUGCGCAGGCGGUUAUGCAAGACCGAUGUGAAAUCCCCGGGCUCAACCUGGGAACUGCAUUUGUGACUGCAUGGCUAGAGUACGGUAGAGGGGGAUGGAAUUCCGCGUGUAGCAGUGAAAUGCGUAGAUAUGCGGAGGAACACCGAUGGCGAAGGCAAUCCCCUGGACCUGUACUGACGCUCAUGCACGAAGGCGUGGGGAGCAAACAGG
rnacentral:rRNA from 1 species